UUGGGAGCNGGCNACGGCNCCCUAUUGCUGANAGCUGAUCAAACUUGGUCAUUNANNGGAAGNAAAGUCGUANCNAAGGUUNNNUAGGUGANNNGCGGAAGGAUCAUUAUUGAAUAANNNUGAUGUGGUUGUUGCUGGCUCUCUCGGGAGUAAUGUGCACGCCCGUCAUCUUUAUAUCUCCACCUGUGCACCUUUUGUAGACCUGGGGAUUGAGUAACAUCAAUCGUUAGGCCUAUGUUUUAUCAUAUACCCCAUAGUAUGUAUUAGAAUGUAUCAAUGGGCUUCGUGCCUAUAAACCUUAUACAACUUUCAGCAACGGAUCUCCUGGCUCUCGCAUCGAUGAAGAACGCAGCGAAAUGCGAUAAGUAAUGUGAAUUGCAGAAUUCAGUGAAUCAUCGAAUCUUUGAACGCACCUUGCGCUCCUUGGUAUUCCGAGGAGCAUGCCUGUUUGAGUGUCAUUAAAUUCUCAACCUCUCUAGUUUGUAAUGAACUAUGUAGAUGGCUUGGAUGUGGGGGAUUAUUUUGCAGGCUUUCACAAGUCAGCUCCCCUGAAAUGUAUUAGCCGGUGCCCUCUAAACCGUCUAUUGGUGUGAUAAUUAUCUACGCCGUGGAUGUUUGGAGUUGAAGGUACUGCUUCUAACCGUCCUUCAUUGGACAACUUAUGACAUUUUGACCUCAAAUCAGGUAGGACUACCCGCUGAACUUAAGCAUAUCAAUAAGCGGAGGA
rnacentral:rRNA from 1 species